GUAAAAAUAUUUUUCUUUAUUUAUAAUGGUUUCCAUGAAAAUUACAUACAAAAUUUAUAAAGGUUUUCAGUUAAAGCUCAGUGCAUUGAUGUAUUUAAUAACAUAAAUAAAUAGUGUUACAACUUUUAACGGGUUGAAUAACAUUACGCUAAGUUUAGUAUUUUGUAUUAGAGUAAUACUAUUAAAUUGUAUUUUGACUGGAUUCUCAAAAAUAUUAAUAUUAGCUGAUACUAGAAAUGGCGAAUAAUAAUUUAAUUUAGAAAUAUAAUAAAAUCUUGUCUAGUGACCACAGUCCAAAUAUAAAUAAUAAACAUAGUUUAUUUUUUUAGAUCUCGAUCAUACUAAGAGCGGUUACCUGUGGCGAUUACGCAGUCAUCCGAUCCGAACCCGUGAAAAUACGGAUAUAAGAACUCGGACCGUAUUCGGAUAUUGUUUACGUACUAAUCCGAUCUCUGAUCCAAAUCCAAGCUAUUCAGUGGACAUCUUUGACAUAUUAUGUCCGAUUUGAAUCCAAGGCACAUCCGAGGUAUUCUCAUGGAUGACGGAAAGAAAUCGGAUGACGGAAUUUGGAUCUAAUACGAAGCUACCAUACAAAUAGUUCUAUGACUACUUCGGAGCAUAAAUCCGAAUCCGUGAAAAUUAACGGAUUCGGAUCGGAUGAGUGCAUAACCGCCCUAAGCGUUUCGUGCACAAUUCUUUGGCAGAACGCAAACAACGCUAUGCGUGAAAAGCUUAGUACGAUCAAAGCUUUAACAUUUCUUAAUAUCUAGCAAAAAAAACACAAAGCUAUAAUAUUUCAAUUCUUCUCUACUUACUAAAAUCACAAUAAAAGUUUGUAAGAAAGUUACCCAUUUUUAAUAUCCUAAACCUAAUCUAUGUUAAACUUCAAGUCUAGCUCAUCGAGAAGUUUAAAAUCGAUUGCAAAAUUUAUACCAAACAUAAACAUUUAUAAAGCGAGUUAGUAAAAGGGUCUUAAAAUAAUAUUUAGUU